GUCUAGUUAUAUUCUCCCUAUAGGCCCUAACUAUAACUCUGGUCUAGUUAUAUUCUCCCUAUAGGCCCUAACUAUAACUCUGGUCUAGUUAUAUCCUCCCUAUAGGCCCUAACUAUAGCUCUGGUCCUGGUCUAGUUAUAUUCUCCCUAUAGACCCUAACUAUAACUCUGGUCCUGGUCUAGUUAUAUUCUCCCUAUAUGCCCUAACUACAACUCUGGUCUAGUUAUAUUCUCCCCAUAGGCCCUAACUAUAACUCUGGUCUAGUUAUAUUCUCCCUAUAGGCCCUAACUAUAACUCUGGUCCUGGUCUAGUUAUAUCCUGACUAUAGGCCCUAACUUUAACUCUGGUCCUGGUCUAGUUAUAUUCUCCCUAUUGGCCAUAACUAUAACUCUGGUCUAGUUUUAUUCUCCCUAUAGGCCCUAACUAUAACUCUGGUCCUGGUCUAGUUAUAUCCUCCCUAUAGGCCCUAACUAUAACUCUGGUCUUGGUCAAGUUAUAUUCUCCCUAUUGGCCCUAACUAUAACUCUGGUCCUGGUCUAGUUAUAUUCUCCCUGUAGACCCUAACUAUAACUCUUGUCUAGUUAUAGUCUCCCUGUAGGCCCUAACUAUAACUCUGGUCCUGGUCUAGUUAUAUCCUCCCUAUAGACCCUAACUAUAACUCUGGUCCUGGUCUAGUUAUAUUCUCCCUAUUGGCCAUAACUAUAACUCUGGUCUAGUUAUAUUCUCCCUAUAGGCCCUAACUAUAACUCUGGUCUAGUUAUAUUCUCCCGAUAGGCCCUAACUAUAACUCUGGUCCUGGUCUAGUUAUAUCCUCCCUAUAGGCCCUAACUAUAUGUCUGGUCUAGUUAUAUCCUCCCUAUAGGCCCUAACUAUAACUUGUCCUGGUCUAGUUAUAUCCUCCCUAUAGGCCCUAACUAUAACUCUGGUCCUGGUCUAGUUAUAUCCUCCCUAUAGGCCCUAACUAUAACUCUGGUCUAGUUAUAUUCUCCCUAUAGGCCCUAACUAUAACUCUGGUCUAGUUAUAUUCUCCCUAUAGGCCCUAACUAUAACUCUGGUCUAGUUAUAUUCUCCCUAUAGGCCCUAAAUAUAACUCUGGUCCUGGUCUAGUUAUAUCCUCCCUAUAGGCCCUAACUAUAACUCUGGUCCUGGUCUAGUUAUAUUCUCCCUAUAGGCCCUAACUAUAACUCUGGUCUAGUUAUAUUCUCCCUAUUGGCCAUAACUAUAACUCUGGUCUAGUUUUAUUCUCCCUAUAGGCCCUAACUAUAACUCUGGACAUGGUCUAGUUAUAUUCAUCCCAAUAGGCCCUAACUAUAACUCUGGUCUUGGUCAAGUUAUAUUCUCCCUAUAGGCCCUAACUAUAACUCUGGUCCUGGUCUAGUUAUAUUCUCCCUAUAGACCCUAACUAUAACUCUGGUCUAGUUAUAUUCUCCCUAUAGGCCCUAACUAUAACUCUGGUCCUGGUCUAGUUAUAUU
rnacentral:lncRNA from 1 species